AUUGAACGCUGGCGGCGUGCCUAACACAUGCAAGUCGUGCGUGAAAGGGCUUCGGCCUGAGUAAAGCGGCGCACGGGUGAGUAACGCGUGGAUGAUCUGCCCAUGAGUUGGGAAUAACGGCUGGAAACGGUCGCUAAUACCGAAUACGCUCCGAUUUCACAGUUCGGGGGAAAGGUGGCCUCUGCUUGCAAGCUACCGCUCAUGGAUGAGUCCGCGUCCCAUUAGCUAGUUGGCGGGGUAAUGGCCCACCAAGGCGACGAUGGGUAGCCGACCUGAGAGGGUGAUCGGCCACACUGGGACUGGAACACGGCCCAGACUCCUACGGGAGGCAGCAGUGGGGAAUAUUGCGCAAUGGGCGAAAGCCUGACGCAGCGACGCCGCGUGAGGGAUGAAGGCCUUCGGGUCGUAAACCUCUGUCAGGAGGGAAGAACCGCCAUGGUGCUAAUCAGCCGUGGUCUGACGGUACCUCCAAAGGAAGCACCGGCUAACUCCGUG
rnacentral:rRNA from 2 species